GAGCACAGCACAGAGCCCAGUGAGGCUCAGCGAGCACUCCAGGUACCUGCUGAAAACAAAGCAAUUCAGAGACAGAAAGAGCAGCAUUGAGUGCAGAGCUGCACACAGCUGUGACUCAGGAAGGCUGCUUUCCUUUCACACCUCCUUUGCUUUCUGGAAUGACCACACCUGCCAGAGAGAUCUACAACACACUUCUAGUAAGAUUUAGGUAAGGAUGUUUUACAGUACAAAGAGGCAGGAGAAAUCAAUACAGAAUGUGGGUCUGCCUCCGAGAGCGCAUCGAUCCCGUUGGUAAACAGCUUAACAUUUUUAAAAGGGUAAAGCCUCCCUCGUGGCUGCCACUCUGCGAGGAGUAUUUGAAGCAGAAAAGCUCUGAGUGACCUCGCGCUGAUCUCAGAUCUCCACCACACCUUGGCUUUUCAGUGGAUGUUUUCCAGCUGCACGGGUCCAGGAGAACUCUCUGACAAAUGGUAUCAGAAGCCCAAGCACAGCUCUCACAUUUACUUAGUUUCAUUAAAGACUUUACUGCAAAGUGAACUUUCCCUGAAUGUUUUGAGCCUUGUCUUUUGUUGUCCUGCAUUAACCCUGACUUAUGCUGGGCACCAUAAAAACUUCUCUGCUUAAAUUUAAGAGAACUGUUCAUAUUUGAAAUAUAGUACUGGAAAUGUUUUCUUGAUAGCUUAAAAACUGGAUCAAACAGUUUGCUUCAUGGAAAAAUACACAGCUGUGAUGGACUCCCAGCUAAGAGCUCAGAGUGCUGCACGUCGCUGACACAGCCGUGCUUUCAGUCUCUGAGCUAUCAGCAAUUCCUUGGCAUAUUCCUCCGACUCCCAUUAAAACUCAUGUCACACCGGUGCCAACAAAGAGAAGGACUGGGCAGGGAGGCACUGAGCUUCCACAGCAGUGCCUCACUCACACCUACAGUUAAAUCAGCAGCAGAAUCUUCUUUAUUUCUCACUCCACUGGUUCAUUUCACCAGGAUCCAGGAAGGGCCAAGGUUUGUAUGCAUGCUGAGGAGCAGCCAGAACAUCACUAGCUGCAACCGUGCCCUUUGUAAUAGAAUACACGUUGACCAGUGAAAAUUCUUCAUGUCAGAACAGAAGCAGUGCUGAGAGACAAACUGGUUGGCACUGACGCUGUCAGGCUGACCUCAGGAAAUCAAACAGGUUAGGAAUUCAGCAGCAAUUCCCUCUCCUUGCCAUCUCCAGGAGGAAAAAAAAAUACAUGGUGGGACAUCAUACACAGAAGAGAUUCAAUUAUGAAGUGACUGCACGGUGCUGGUGUUUAAUUCCUUUGCUCACAAGACUGCCAUCCUUAACGCAUGUUACUGCACGCACAUAACCUACCUUCCAAUCUCUUGUUUAAAACAGUCACCCAUUUAAAUAAAGCAUUUCAACAUAUUUCAGCAGAUUUUGCUCACCAUCUGAGGCAGUGCAGCGCGAUGCCAGCUCCCAGAGGACCAAGCCCAUGGCAUACAUGUCUAUUCUCAAAAACGCAUCCCUUUGGAAGUUUAUAGCACCUUCUAGUACCUCAGGAGCCAUGUACCUUCGUGUGCCAACCUGUCCAUGUGUAUCUCCUGCAGAUUUUCCAGCCUCAAACUUUAAAGCUAGACCAAAAUCAGCAAUGCAAGCUGUAAGGUUGUUUUUCAGCAGCACAUUCUUGCUUUUGAUGUCCCUGUGUGAGAUGGCGGGUUUAUGUCCGUCUUUUAGCCCUGGUAUAUCCUCAUGGAGAUAAGCCAAGCCUCGAGCCAUAGUCUGAGCAAUGUGACACAGCUCAUUCCAGGAAACCACGUUAGCCUUGAGGAAGUCAGUUAAUGAACCCUUUUCGUGAAAAGCUGUAAUUAACCAGAGAUCCACAUCAAUGCUGGUGCCUCGCUUCUCUGCACCGAUGAACUGUAAAAUAUUGUCAUGCUUCAUUCCAGGCAGGCUGUAAA
rnacentral:lncRNA from 1 species